CAGAAACCACCCUAAGAUCACACCAUGGGACAGAGGAAGCAGGGCUGGCAACUCAGUGGCUUACCUGACAGAGCAACAGAGGAGCUCAGCACAUUGGUGACAGCACAUUGGUGACAGAACUUCCUUCCAGAUCAACACAGACUUCUACAGUUUGAGGUGAACUAGAACCAGCAAAUGACAAGAGAUCUGAAGAUCUGACCUUCUUGUUGGCAGAGCAGCCUGGCGCGUUGAAAUGCAGACCAGCCUAUCUAUGCCUUUGUCACAGGGGCUGCGGAAGCUUCCUUCGUUUGUGCGCGGUGAUGGUUUGGGUGGGAGAGGAAGGCAUGGGAGCCAUAAGCACAACAGAAGGGUCGCACAACACACAAGCUGACACCCGGGGACACUCCCGCCCGCCCGCCCACCACCCGUGUGCAUCUGGUGAAGGCAACAGCUCGAUCUGCCAGUCCUCAACAAAACCAGAAGUGUCCCCACCCCACGCUGAAAACAUCGUGGGAGACCUUGGCAGUGACCCAAGACUAAGACUCGUAGCAACCACUAAAUUAUAAUAUCGAUGAUGAGCAUCAGUAAUUGAACAGGCCUGGGCUGGGCACUAUCCUUUAUUAUCACCGCUAGGAAGAUGAGGAAGAUGGUAAUGAAGCUGCCAUGCCUCUCUCUCAGACGAAGACACAAAAGCACAGACACUAAGUGACACACGCCAUGCCAUGCCACUGCGGAAUGACUGAAGACAUGGUCUUGGGUCACGCUGUACCGUGCCAGCCUGCUACCCAUCCCCUGACUUUGUUUAGAAAAGCAUUCUUUUCUGUAGGCGAAAAUCAACGGGAUCUAAAGCAGCUGGCAUAGUGUGCCCACUAGGCUGGGAUCAGACUCUCCCAUCUAUGUUUCAGGAGGCCAGGGGCUCUGAAGCUCCAGGCCUGCAACUACACCCCCCACACCAACCCACAAGACAGUGUGUAAAAGGCAGAGUGAGUGGGUCUGGUGCCAAGAAGCCAGAGCCAGUUUAUUUCCAUCCCAGUGUUAAGACAGCCGGCACCAGGUUGAGGCUAAGAAAGGCUCCUUCUAAUUUAAACUUUAUUUUCAUACACAUGUCACAGCUUCAACAUGGUGAGCCUCGUGUCUCGCUCUGUGGAUGUCUAAGAGGAGGAGGAGGAGGAGCAACUUCCACGGUCGUCCUCUCCCACUCACUCCAGAGCAACUGGAGAAUCCGUAAGGGUGUGUUUCACAGCAGAGAGGAGUCUGGGAAACGUUGGGGAGACUUAGAAAGAAAGGAGAAAGCAGGUACUUCCUCCUGACGGGAUCUGGUAACAGGGGUCUCAGAAACCAAUAGGAGCAGAGACAGUGGUCCUUGUCCCAUCUGGGGGGGGGGGGUGGCGGUCAGCUCAUCAGGACUCCAAGCCAUCUGAGGAAGCCUUGGGCAGAGCACAGAACCCAGGAUGGUACCCACCUGGACUCAGCUCAUGUUCCUGCAAGGUUACAAUCAAAGCCUCCCGCCAGGUGACGUGGGGGUCUCUGGAGAUGACAAGGUCAUACAGAAGAGUCUUCAUACAGGCACUCGGUGCCUUGUGAGAGAGACCCCAGAGAACGGCCUCCCCUGUGUACCGCAUAAGGACACAGGAAAAGAUGGCAGUCUGUGCUGGAGCAGGAACCAGGCCCGGACACCUGUGCUCGCACAUCCCAGCCUCCAGAAACUGUGUGGCCCACAAGCUUCCAGCCUGUGGCCCGGCCUGUUCCAUCAGCCUGAGGUAUCGUGGGUAUGAAGUGUUCCCCCAAAAGGCUCAAGUGUGGGCACUGACACGGCUAAGAGGGGAUUAGAACAUGAACAUGGGCGAGACCUCGCUGCUGGACUGGAGGAUAGAUGAGUUUAGAGUUGGAAGGCUAUUGGGAAAUGGGGCCUGGUUGGAGGAGGUGGGCACUGGGGACGCACCUCUGCUUCCGGGCCAUAGGGUGUGGCUUUCUGUCACAUGCCUAACAGCAAUGGAGCCUCUGAGAGGACUGAAACUGGGAGCCAGAGUAACUAUGCCCCCCUUUAAAUGUCCAUCAGGUGUUUUUUCAAAGCAGCAAAGAGCUGUCCAACACACAACCUGAAUAGUCUGAGACAUCCGGAAAAAACACUGCACCCCAGACACCUGUCACUUCACAUCCUCCCCUCCACAAAGAGGCCACCAGACACAGAUGGUGCUCAGGAGUGAGUGCGGCCGACCACGUGUCCCCUGCUGGCUGGAUGAACCUCAGAGUCAGCACUGUGGGCAGCCUCCAAACAUGGCACCCCUUCCCGGGUGAGGACCUGACCAAACAGAAGCUCCAACCACUAUCAGGAACAAAUUAAAUAAAGCAACAGAGGAACCUUAAAGGGCAGGACACAGUGGGCUCCAAAGUUCACCUACCACUUCCUAGCCCAACCACACAUGGCUCAGAUGUUAAAUCACACACCAACCACCCACCAACCGCCCACUCAGGGUCGGGAGCACAGCGUGUCCUAUAAUCUCAGUCCUGUUCAUUCAGAAAGAGAGCCAGCCUAUAGACUGUCUAGGGCCCUCGGUAGUCAGGAGCACCCUCUCACUCUAAGACUCCAUGUUACAGCUUGAGUGGAAAUCUAAACCUUUGUGUUUCCACAAAAUCCAUGCUGAACCUGUAACCCUCAAAAUGAUAUUUAAAAUGGGGUCUGUUAGAUCAGGUGUGGUGGUGCAUGCAUGUAGUCUCAACAUUCAGGAGGUAACAGCAGGAAGACGAGAUCAAGGCAAUUCUCGGCCCCAUGGUGAUCCCGAGGCAAGACUGGGCCUUGUGAAAUAAGCACACUCACGCACUCGUGCACUCACGCACACGUGCCAUCCUUCCCUAAGUUGUAUGAAUCAGCUUUUGAGUACUAACAACUUACUUGAGUCAGGCUAUUUUAAAAAGAAAAGAGGUUUACUUGAGCUCAGGAUCUAGAAAUGCAAAGUCUAGCUAAGGGGCCUUAUCUAAGUGAAGGCUGCCUUGCUGCCAAAGGAGUUGGCAUGGUUAAGAGAUGGAAAGAUGGUAAGAGAUGGAGAGAAAACACGCUCAUGUGUGCAUCUGCUCAGGAAGCCAUCAAGAUCCUGCCAUAGCUCCACCCACCUUAUCCAUAAAUGGCUCAAACUCCCUCUUCUUAAUACCAUUAGCAUGUAAUUUUAACGAUUAGGCUACCGUGACACACAACGCCUUGGAGAGGCCUCUA
rnacentral:lncRNA from 1 species